rnacentral:rRNA from 1 species
GACGAACGCUGGCGGCGUGCCUAAUACAUGCAAGUAGAACGCUGAAGGAGGAGCUUGCUUCUCUGGAUGAGUUGCGAACGGGUGAGUAACGCGUAGGUAACCUGCCUGGUAGCGGGGGAUAACUAUUGGAAACGAUACCUAAUACCGCAUAAUAGCCGUUGUUGCAUGACAACUGUUUGAAAGGUGCACUUGCACCCCUACCAGGUGGACGUGCGUUGUAUUAGGUAGUGGGGGGGGUAACCGCUCACCAAGGCGACGAUACAUAGCCGACAUGAGAGGGUGAUCAGCCACACUGAGACGGAGACACGGCCCACAGGCAUACAGGAGGGAGCAGUAGGGAAUCGUCGGGAAUGGGCGGAAGACUGAGCGAGCAACGCCGCGUGAGGGAGGAAGAUUGUCGGGUCGUAAAGCACUGUUGUAAGGGAAGAACGAGUGUGAGGGUGGAAAGUUCACACUGUGACGGUAUCUGAACAGAAAGGGACGGCUAACUACGUG